rnacentral:rRNA from 1 species
UACAGAGGUGGCAAGCGUUGUUCGGAAUUACUGGGCGUAAAGGGCGCGUAGGCGGUCCCGUCAGUCCCUUGUGAAAUCCCCCGGCUCAACUGGGGAACUGCAAGGGAUACAGCGGGGCUUGAGUUCGGGAGAGGGAAGCGGAAUUCCGGGUGUAGCGGUGAAAUGCGUAGAUAUCGGGAAGAACACCGAUGGCGAAGGCAGCUCUCUGGGACGGUACUGACGCUGAGACGCGAAAGCGUGGGGAGCGAACAGG